rnacentral:lncRNA from 1 species
AGAUCUUGAAGGUCCAUCAACACCAUCAUAGCCACCUGCUUGAGAGCCACUCAGGAGCAGCAGGACCAACCCCCAUCAGUCUCAGGGAGGGGCCCAUUGGGUACCAUGGUUCAAACUCAGCUCAUUCGGCAUGGAAGCGAGCAACGUUACCCACUGAGCCUUCAUGUAGCGUUCUUACGCUGGUGGGACUCUCUUCGAAAAGACACAAAUGCCUCAGAGAGAGCAGAGCAGGCAGACUAAAGCUCUGUCAGCAAAUAAAAUCGAAUCAGCCUGACUUGUGAUAUUUACUGGCUUGCAGCAACCCGACCGCAGGUAUGGAUCUUGGCUACCAGUGCUUGGUCUAAGGACCGCUUUGCUGUGUGGCGUUCUUGUGGCUCUGGCUAACUGGUACCCAGGAGACGGUCCAGCACAUCUCCAAGAGGACAUCCAAAUGGCCUAC